GUCUUUGUUGUUUUCCUUUUUCCAUUUCAUCCUCCUGUUCUGGAACCAGAUUUUGACCUGCCUUUCUGUCAAUCCCAGGGCAUGCGAGACCUCGAUCCUCCGUUUGCGGGUCAGGUGGAUUUCUGCUGCUUCCCAUCGCAUCCGUCUGCGCGGUUUUGACACGAGAAAGGAUGCUGCGUGUUGGAGGACGGGCGUAUUUUCUGGUGUAACUUCGGAGGAAGAUUUAUUCAGAAAAUACCUGUUUAUAACAAUUUGAAAGAAAAGCUAUAUUGAAAUGAUCGCCACCACUCCUUUCUACCUUAUUUCUAGCUGAAUUUGUAGCUGAAGGGCUGGGACGUCUGAAUAAUUUUUGUCCUGUAAUUUUGAAGAAACAAAGGCCAAAAUAAAAGUGAACU